UUGCUGUGAUGACCAUCUUAGGACACCUUUGGAAAACCCAUGAAAAAAAAAUGGAAAUUGUCUUUCUGAGCAAC